GAGUGAAUAUUAUAAUGAAAGGAAUGAAAGUUGGGAAGGAAGAUGAAAUUGUUUAAUGGGAGAAUGGAGUGAAAGAUGAGUGGAAGGGAAUAUUAUAAUGGAAAGUUUGGUGAAAAUGUUUGUGUGGUGGAGUAUUUUAAUGAUAAGUGAUGAGGAGUGGAAGGAGGAAAUGAGUUGUGUAAGGGAAGAGUUGGUGGUGGAAUAGUUUUUUAAUGGGAUGAGACGUGGUAUAAUGGAAGAUGAUGAAUAAACAAAAGGAAGAUA
rnacentral:lncRNA from 1 species